GGGGGUGUGGCUCAGUGGUAGAGCUCUUGCCUAGUAUGUAUGAGGCUCUGACUUCAAUCCCCAGAACCACCA
rnacentral:tRNA from 1 species